AGACCCGAAACCCGGUGAUCUAGCCAUGGGCAGGUUGAAGGUUGGGUAACACUAACUGGAGGACCGAACCGACUAAUGUUGAAAAAUUAGCGGAUGACCUGUGGCUGGGGGUGAAAGGCCAAUCAAACCGGGAGAUAGCUGGUUCUCCCCGAAAGCUAUUUAGGUAGCGCCUCGUGAAUUCAUCUCCGGGGGUAGAGCACUGUUUCGGCUAGGGGGCCAUCCCGGCUUACCAACCCGAUGCAAACUGCGAAUACCGGAGAAUGUUAUCACGGGAGACACACGGCGGGUGCUAACGUCCGUCGUGAAGAGGGAAACAACCCAGACCGCCAGCUAAGGUCCCAAAGUCAUGGUUAAGUGGGAAACGAUGUGGGAAGGCCCAGACAGCCAGGAUGUUGGCUUAGAAGCAGCCAUCAUUUAAAGAAAGCGUAAUAGCUCACUGGUCGAGUCGGCCUGCGCGGAAGAUGUAACGGGGCUAAACCAUGCACCGAAGCUGCGGCAGCGACGUUUAUGCGUUGUUGGGUAGGGGAGCGUUCUGUAAGCCUGCGAAGGUGGCCUGUGAGGGUUGCUGGAGGUAUCAGAAGUGCGAAUGCUGACAUAAGUAACGAUAAAGCGGGUGAAAAGCCCGCUCGCCGGAAGACCAAGGGUUCCUGUCCAACGUUAAUCGGGGCAGGGUGAGUCGACCCCUAAGGCGAGGCCGAAAGGCGUAGUCGAUGGGAAACGGGUUAAUAUUCCCGUACUUGGUGUUACUGCGAAGGGGGGACGGAGAAGGCUAUGUUGGCCGGGCGACGGUUGUCCCGGUUUAAGCGUGUAGGUGUGUGUUCCAGGUAAAUCCGGUUCACUUUAACACUGAGGCGUGACGACGAGGCACUACGGUGCUGAAGCAACAAAUGCCCUGCUUCCAGGAAAAGCCUCUAAGCAUCAGGUAACAUCAAAUCGUACCCCAAACCGACACAGGUGGUCAGGUAGAGAAUACCAAGGCGCUUGAGAGAACUCGGGUGAAGGAACUAGGCAAAAUGGUGCCGUAACUUCGGGAGAAGGCACGCUGACACGUAGGUGAAGUGAUUUACUCAUGGAGCUGAAGUCAGUCGAAGAUACCAGCUGGCUGCAACUGUUUAUUAAAAACACAGCACUGUGCAAACACGAAAGUGGACGUAUACGGUGUGACGCCUGCCCGGUGCCGGAAGGUUAAUUGAUGGGGUCAGCGCAAGCGAAGCUCCUGAUCGAAGCCCCGGUAAACGGCGGCCGUAACUAUAACGGUCCUAAGGUAGCGAAAUUCCUUGUCGGGUAAGUUCCGACCUGCACGAAUGGCGUAAUGAUGGCCAGGCUGUCUCCACCCGAGACUCAGUGAAAUUGAACUCGCUGUGAAGAUGCAGUGUACCCGCGGCAAGACGGAAAGACCCCGUGAACCUUUACUAUAGCUUGACACUGAACAUUGAGCCUUGAUGUGUAGGAUAGGUGGGAGGCUUUGAAGUGUGGACGCCAGUCUGCAUGGAGCCGGCCUUGAAAUACCACCCUUUAAUGUUUGAUGUUCUAACGUGGACCCGUAAUCCGGGUUGCGGACAGUGUCUGGUGGGUAGUUUGACUGGGGCGGUCUCCUCCUAAAGAGUAACGGAGGAGCACGAAGGUUGGCUAAUCCUGGUCGGACAUCAGGAGGUUAGUGCAAUGGCAUAAGCCAGCUUGACUGCGAGCGUGACGGCGCGAGCAGGUGCGAAAGCAGGUCAUAGUGAUCCGGUGGUUCUGAAUGGAAGGGCCAUCGCUCAACGGAUAAAAGGUACUCCGGGGAUAACAGGCUGAUACCGCCCAAGAGUUCAUAUCGACGGCGGUGUUUGGCACCUCGAUGUCGGCUCAUCACAUCCUGGGGCUGAAGUAGGUCCCAAGGGUAUGGCUGUUCGCCAUUUAAAGUGGUACGCGAGCUGGGUUUAGAACGUCGUGAGACAGUUCGGUCCCUAUCUGCCGUGGGCGCUGGAGAACUGAGGGGGGCUGCUCCUAGUACGAGAGGACCGGAGUGGACGCAUCACUGGUGUUCGGGUUGUCAUGCCAAUGGCACUGCCCGGUAGCUAAAUGCGGAAGAGAUAAGUGCUGAAAGCAUCUAAGCACGAAACUUGCCCCGA
rnacentral:rRNA from 1 species